rnacentral:rRNA from 1 species
CCCUUAGAGUUUGAUCCUGGCUCAGAACGAACGCUGGCGGCAUGCCUAACACAUGCAAGUCGAACGAAGGCCCUAGCUUGCUAGGUGUCCUUAGUGGCGAACGGGUGAGUAACGCGUGGGAAUCUGCCAUAGAGUGGGGAACAACUUUUGGAAACGAAAGCUAAUACCGCAUACGCCCUCCGGGGGAAAGGCUUCGGCCGCUCUUUGAUGAUCCCGCGUCUGAUUAGCUUGUUGGUAGGGUAACGGCUUACCAAGGCGACGAUCAGUAGCUGGUCUGAGAGGAUGAUCAGCCACACUGGGACUGAGACACAGCCCAGACUCCUACGGGAGGCAGCAGUGGGGAAUAUUGGACAAUGGGGGAAACCCUGAUCCAGCAAUGCCGCGUGAGUGAAGAAGGCCUUAGGGUUGUAAAACUCUUUCGCCGGUGAAGAUGAUGACUGUAGCCGGUAAAGAAGCCCCGGCUAACUCCGUGCCAGCAGCCGCGGUAAUACGGAGGGGGCUAGCGUUGUUCGGAUUUACUGGGCGUAAAGCGCACGUAGGCGGCAUAUUAAGUUAGAGGUGAAAGGCCUGGGCUCAACCUAGGAACUGCCUUUAAUACUGGUAUGCUUGAGUUCGGAAGAGGGUAGUGGAAUUCCAAGUGUAGAGGUGAAAUUCGUAGAGAUGUGGAGGAAUACCAAUGGCGAAGGCAGCCCCCUGGGAUAAUAUUGACGCUCAUGCACGAAGCGUGGGGAGCGAACAGGAUUAGAUACCCUGGUAGUCCACGCCCUA